UUGGAGAAUGAGGGAGUAAAGCAAUCCUACAACUCAGAUCAGCCAUAUUUGAAAACAAAACUGAAAAAAAAUUCAAAACCAUUUCAAUAAUAAUGAGGAUUAAUGUACCAAGCCUUCAUGUGAUGGCACAGUCAUCAACAACAUCUUCGUAAGUAAGUGAGUGAGUGUGCCUCAAGUAAGUGAUUCGUUGAUGUUAUUCCAAAAAAUGAUUAAUGAACUCCCCCUAUCGACAAAAAAAAAAUCAAGUGCUUAAAGCUACAAUCUAUUUAAGUAUUAGAGUUCUCAAUAAGUCAUGGACAGGGAGGAAGCAGAGGAAACAAGCUGAGAAUAAAAAAGUGUUUUAAUAAAUAUCAAAACACAUUCUUGGCUACCAUGUGUAACAGCAGAGAUCGCAUAAGGAGAGCUCCCCCGCCUAUUAACCGCUUAGACAUCCAAAGAGUUCAAAAGCCACAAAAGAAUUGAUAAAUGUAAAAAUCAAAGCAAAAUCAACAGAAAAACAAUCAACGAUUGAUGUUUGGUGAAAAUAUUCGAAAUAGGGUCUUAAGCCUUAGAGCCGUCCUCAACAAAGUAAAACGACAACAACUUGGCAACUAGAAACCAGAAAUUGAGUGCAAUGCUAGAAAUGAGUGAGAAAUAUUGAGUGGAAUUGCUAAUAACAAAAGUAUUAAAAAAAAUAAAGAAAAAACCAAAGAAAUACCCUUUUUUUAGUGCUCUUGGGCUUAAGGUAUAGAAUAUAUGGUCUUAAGACCAUGUUCAGUGUGUAUUGGCCAGUUAACAUCAUGGCCAGUUGGAGUAAUACAGCAGCAACAGCACCACUAACAAUCAUGAUGGGGCAUUAUUAGGGACCAAAAAUAAACCAAGAAGAUUUGUCUCGCUACCAUUGGGGAGGCAUUCACUUCACUUUUUAUGGCAUCAUUUUAUUCAUUUCACUUGAAGUUGGAAAAGAAAAAUGAAAAUGAACAUAGCCAAAACAUUAGAGACGCCUAAAACCGAAGAGGCGGCUAGCUACCAAGCUUGGCUUGUAAAUUGACGGAUAUGGAUGGAUGCAAGGACGGACGGACAGAGAUGUUUAUUGUUCGCUGACCAGUCAGUGUCUAUGGAGUGGACCAUGCCCAAAGACCGUAUAAUCCAUAUCAACAAGCAUAUCAUAACCAGUGCUUCCAGUUGUUUCAAGGAGGAGAUCUCAAACAUUCGUAUGAUCAUUACAAACGGCCAUUGCUGGUAUUAUGUUACACUACUAUUAUUAUUAAGCUAUUAUGGAGUGUAGUAAGUAUUGUUGUAGCUGGUAUUGGCAUUUUGCUGGUGUGCUUUUCAUUGGAAAAAAAAUUACAAGACAACAAUAGAAAAGUUUAUUGACUGAACGAGCGCA